CCUUACAGCCUGUUUAAGAAAUCGUACAGCUCACCUCCAGCAAGAGCAGGUGGCAGAAAUGCAUCGAUAUGAAGAAGCAUUUUAAAGUCCUUCCUGCUUGCAGUACAUUGCUCCAGUCAAGCUUUCCGGAGCCCUGUGAUCCCCAGACUCACAGGAGCUAGAAACCCAAGAAGGCAGAGGCUGGACAGAAUUCAACCUGCAAAGGAGGCUUAAAGUACAAGAUGGCAGAGACAAGCAUUGCUGAACACCCAGUCUUCCAAACAGUGUGACCUUUGAUCCUUGCACUUCCAAAAAUAGUGUAGAAGGCACAGCUUUGCUUUGCAUCAUAAGAGCACUCCAGUCUCCUGUGGAGGCCAAGGACUGGUUCAAGUGUUCAGACCACACCAGUCCCUAUCGAAAAAUACAAA